rnacentral:rRNA from 1 species
UACGUAGGGUGCAAGCGUUAAUCGGAAUUACUGGGCGUAAAGCGUGCGCAGGCGGUUAUGUAAGACAGAUGUGAAAUGCCCGGGCUUAACCUGGGAACUGCAUUUGUGACUGCAUGGCUAGAGUUUGGCAGAGGGGGGUAGAAUUCCACGUGUAGCAGUGAAAUGCGUAGAUAUCAGCAGGAAUACCCGUGGCGAAGGCGGCCCCCUGGGCCGAACCUGACGCUGAGGCGCG